ensembl:lncRNA
UUUCAUUUCAUUUCAUUUCAUUUCAUUUCAUUUGAUGGUCAUAUAUAAUCACAGAUUCAAUAUUGGUUCAUUUCAGAUUGUUCUCUUUUAUAAAAAAACACAAUAAAACCCCAAAAAAAUUAAAAAAAUACAAAAAGCCAAAAAAAUAUAAAAAAUCGAAAGAAAGACAAAAAAAACAAUAUACAAUUGUGGAUUUGAUCGUUCAUAAAAUUAAGGAUGGUAUUCGUCUUUCAAGACAAGAGUCGUUUCACGACCCCUCGGAUGCGCUUGAGCCCCCAUAAAAAUAAAAGGGAUUUCCCCCGACGGGGACGAUUUAGGAGGGACGAUUAUUUUGUUGAGCGAUCUCGUGACUUCCCGUACGAAGUCAACGGACACGAAGAAUCAUCCAUAGGUUACAGUAACAGAGUACACAAUGAAACUCGAUCGGAGAUUAAUGCAAAUCCCUUCUCUCGUCCGUCACGUGAUCAACGCCCUUUAAAUCAGGGGAGAUUUAAACAGACACGAAAGAGAGUAACUUUUGGGGUUAAUAGGAUUAUUUACCCCACAGAAGAGAAUGGAUUUAUGGAGCAGAGAAACAGUAACACACGAUAUUUUCCUCAUAACGGGGAGAAAAACGGGAGACGUGAAUUUUCUGCACAAAGAAAUGUACAGUUUGCACAAAAUUAUUCUCAUCAGAAAAAAAGAAUGGGGCAGAAAACUCAUUCUAACACACAGAAAAAAUCAAAAUACUCUCCUGCUUCUCCCACAUUUCGGAAUGUGAUCAAAAAUAUGUAUCAUCUGAUCCGAUCGGUCCAUCACCUCAGUAACAUCGACACACGUGUCGAGAAUAAUCAACCUGUCACUUUGAAGAGAUUAACUGAAUUACUGAAGAGCGUGAUAAAACCCUUUGCCCCCACAAUGUCCACAAAAGAAAUGCUGGAGGGCAAUGCAAGGAAUUGGGCAUUCACGACACAGUUGGUGUUACAGCAACACUAUGAGGACAUUAUACAGCACACAUUAGGGAUUUUACGAGGAGAAACACAGAGAACGGACUGGUUACAUGCCUUUGAGAUUGCUGUUAAAUGGGCUAUGCGAAAUUUCGGCAAGAGGAUCUCCCAGAGGGCAAUUC